CUUCACCGACCCCAGCCACAACGGGUCGCCCUCGGACCGGUCCUGACCGUACGUCGCCAGCAGCGCCUGCGCCUC
rnacentral:antisense_RNA from 1 species